CCCUUGUGGAGAGCAUGAGCCGGGAAAGGAAAGACCGGUGCAAGCGGGACAGUAGCCAUGCAGGCAAAUCCGUGUGGCAAUACGAAGACGUGACGCGGACCGAAAUAAAGUAGGGAAGCAUGUGAGCCAUGUGCCAAGAAAAGCCGCUAUAGAUCAUACCGUACCCGUACCGUAAACCGACACAGGUAGUUGAGGAGAGAAUCCUAAGGCCGACGGGAGAAGCAUUGUUAAGGAACUCGGCAAAAUGACCCCGUAACUUCGGGAGAAGGGGUGCCCACGCGAGUGGGCCGCAGAGAAUAGGCUCAAGCAACUGUUUAGCAAAAACACAGGUCUAUGCGAAACCGAAAGGUGAGGUAUAUGGGCUGACGCCUGCCCGGUGCUGGAAGGUUAAGAGGAGGAGUCAGGCAACGAAGCUCCGAAUUUAAGCCCCAGUAAACGGCGGCCGUAACAAUAACGGUCCUAAGGUAGCGAAAUUCCUUGUCGGGUAAGUUCCGACCCGCACGAAAGGCGUAAUGAUUUGAGCACUGUCUCGACAAUGCACCCGGUGAAAUUGAAGUACCAGUGAAGAUGCUGGUUACCUGCGCCAGGACGGAAAGACCCCAUGGAGCUUUACUCCAGUUUGAUACUGGGAUUCGAUACUGAAUGUACAGGAUAGGUGGGAGGCUGAGAAGCGUGGACGCCAGUCUGCGGUGAGCCGCUGUUGGGAUACCACCCUUUGAGUAUUGGAUUUCUAACCUGCGCCCGUGACCCGGGCGGGGGACAAUGUCUGACGGGGAGUUUGACUGGGGCGGUCGCCUCCGAAAGGGUAUCGGAGGCGCUCAAAGGUUCCCUCAGAAUGGUUGGAAACCAUUCGCAGAGUGCAAAGGCAGAAGGGAGCUUGACUGUGACACCGACGGGUGGAGCAGGUACGAAAGUAGGACUUAGUGAUCCGGUGGUAUGAAAGUGGGAUUGCCAUCGCUCAACGGAUAAAAGCUACCCUGGGAUAACAGGCUUAUCACUCCCAAGAGUUCACAUCGACGGAGUGGUUUGGCACCUCGAUGUCGGCUCAUCGCAUCCUGGGGCUGUAGCAGGUCCCAAGGGUUGGGCUGUUCGCCCAUUAAAGCGGUACGCGAGCUGGGUUCAGAACGUCGUGAGACAGUUCGGUCCCUAUCCGGCGCAGGCGUAGGAUAUUUGAGAGGAGCUGUCCUUAGUACGAGAGGACCGGGAUGGACAGACCGCUGGUGUAUCUGUUGGUGACCAACACCAUGGCAGAGUAGCCAAGUCUGGCAGGGAUAAACGCUGAAGGCAUCUAAGCGUGAAGCCCCCCUCAAGAUGAGACAUCCCAAUAAGUAAGACCCCUUAGAGAGUAUGAGGUAGAUAGGCUUAAGGUGUAAGCAUAGUAAUAUGUUCAGCUGAUAAGUACUAAUAGGUCGAGGGCUUAUUGA
rnacentral:rRNA from 1 species